UUUAAAUAGCUGCAGUAUUUUAACUGUACAAAGGUAGCGUAGUAAUUAGUCUUUUAAUUGAGGUCUAGAAUGAAUGGUUUAACAAGAAAUUUACUUUAUUAAAUUAAUUAAAUGAAUUUAAUUUUUUGGUUAAAAAGCUAAAAUUAAAAAAUGGGACGAUAAGACCCUAUAGAUCUUUAAAUUUUUUUAACUUUAUUAUUUUAGUUGAAUAAUUUAUUUUUAUUUAAAAUUUUUAAUUGGGGUGAUAAACAAAUUUUUAAAACUUUGUUAAUUUUUUACAUUAAUUAAUGGUUUUAGUUGAACCUUAACUUUGGGUUAUUAAAAUAAGAUACCUUAGGGAUAACAGCGUAAUAAAUUUGUAUAGUUCAUAUAGAUAAAUUUGUUUACGACCUCGAUGUUGAAUUAACUUAAAGUUUUGGGGCAGAAAAUAAAAUUUUAGGUCUGUUCGACCUUUAAAAAGUUACA
rnacentral:rRNA from 1 species